rnacentral:lncRNA from 1 species
UCCUGUCAUUCAAGUUCCACAUCUCACGCCAGCUACUCUCUGAUGCUUUCCCCAACUUCUUCAGCAGCAGGACAAUCAAUGUCUACACCAAAGAAGCAUUCCUGAUUACCCUGAAUAAUGUGCAUAAUUCAAGACUAAUUUUCCCAUGUGAACCAAAGAGAUGACAAGUACUUCUACUUAUCAGUUAAAGUGGGACUACCACAUGACCGCGGUCCCAGCUGCUCUCCUUGCUUCCUGUUGUAAAGACUAAGUAAGCAAACAAGCGAAUAAAUUUAUGAAUGAAUCUACACAGACUGAAGAAAACGGAGGAAUUUUAGAGGAAAGACCUGAAAAGGAAUCCAAAUACAUCUCAAGAAAUUUAAAAAUUUCUGUCUUUACUGAAUGUUUACCUUCAAGAAUUUACAAAAAAGAACAUACAAAAUAUAUUAGUGGGACUGUAGAAAGAGGACAAUGCGUUAAUCAUGAAGAUGUGAGAUAA